GACGAACGCUGGCGGCGUGCUUAACACAUGCAAGUCGAACGGUGAAGCCUUCGGGUGGAUCAGUGGCGAACGGGUGAGUAACACGUGAGCAAUCUGCCCUUGACUCUGGGAUAACUUCGGGAAACCGGAGCUAAUACCGGAUAUGACAUCUGGCCGCAUGGUCUGGGUGUGGAAAGAUUUAUCGGUCAAGGAUGAGCUCGCGGCCUAUCAGCUUGUUGGGGGGUAAUGGCCCACCAAGGCGACGACGGGUAGCCGGCCUGAGAGGGCGACCGGCCACACUGGGACUGAGACACGGCCCAGACUCCUACGGGAGGCAGCAGUGGGGAAUAAUUGCGCAAUGGGCGGAAGCCUGACGCAGCGACGCCGCGUGAGGGAUGAAGGCC
rnacentral:rRNA from 1 species